rnacentral:lncRNA from 1 species
UUAUGUAAUAUGCCUCAGGCAGUGGCAGAAACCUAGGCUGAAAUAACCAACACUACUUGCCAAACACUUUAGAAAGAUUAUGUUUCUUCUCCAUUACAGAAGUGGAACAUAUGGUUCAGAUUCUCCUCAUUAAACUACCUGCCCUCUGUAAUGUAGCUCUUCUGUGCUGCAGAAAUUGAUACUACACAAGAAAAGAAAUGAUGGGAGAAUAGGGAAGAAGAGAAGAACUGGCCAGGUAGCAACAUAUAAGAGGCCAAGGGCCAGGCGCAGUGGCUCAUGCUUGUAAUCCAAACACUUUGGGAGGCCAAGGCGGGCAGAUCACCUGAGGUUGGGAGUUUGAGACCAGCCUGACCAACAUGGGGAAACCCCAUCUCUACCAAAAAUACAAAAUUAGCCAGGCGUGGUGGCGCAUGCCUGUAAUCCCAGCUACUCAGGAGGCUGAGGCAGGAGAAUCACUUGAACCCAGGAGGCAGAGAUUGCAGUGAGCCGAGAUUGCACCAUUGCACUCCAGCCUGGGUAACAAGAGUGAAACUCCGUCUCAAAAAA